UCAUGCUAAGAAUCUCAGUCUCCGUUGAACUGGCAACACGCAUUAAUGAGAAACAUUAGAUUAUGAAUAAAAUCAUAAAUUUGUUAUGUUAAGGGCUAACUUUGUCCUGUAAACAUUGCCGCUAGUCCAAACAAACCUUGGUCCAAAUAGAAGUUGCUUAUGAAAUAGACAAGAAAAUGUUAUGGAUUUAUUACAUAUUAAAUAUUCUUGUACUUUACAUAUAGAACUUGAUUUUUUAGGCACUCUGGAUUUUCAUUAAUAGAAAUCAAGCAAAUCAGAGUUUAAGCUGUUGCUGUUGCUUGAGUUGAGCUAUGCUGCUAAAGACAUUUUUACAUGUGACGUGCUCUCCUACGUACUACCAACCAUUUGGUCACAUCAGUACUGUUUGACCACAUGCAAUGAAGGCACUGCAACUAAGAGAAUGGAAAUAUAUACACUGUGAUUGGUGUCACCAGAAAUGAUGGAAAGCUAGAGGUGGGUAACACAUGAAGGCAAUUUGUGCCCAUCUUUAUUUAAACUUUUUAAACUUCCCUUGGUAUUCAGAUUUUUCUUUCCGGAAAUUUUCUCAAAACAGUGGGAGAUCCCUGAGCAAUUAAUUGAAGCUUCUAAUAUUUUAAAAUUUCUAACACUGAACUCAGUUGGUGGCAUUAUUCAUGUAGUUAAAGUUAAGCUUGUGCUGCAGUACCUUGCUGAAAGAACCAAAUAGAUUUUUUUCCCUGCUCACUCAGCAAAGGACUUACAUCAGUGUUAACAAAAAGGCUUUCUGUAUGAACCGAUUAUUAGUCACGUUCUCUUGGUCUGUCAGAUUUACUUCCUCCUUGCCUGACACCACAUCUACUAAAUCUCCAUUCACCUGUAGAGUAAGGCAAGUAGAAAAAAAACGGACUUUUUUUUUUUUUUUUUUUGUGUGUGUGUGUGUGUGUGAAGUAUUACCAGAAAAUCUCAGUCUGGACUCAAAAUAAAAAAAAUGGUGGAUUAGUAGAGAUUAAGACUACAAAAAGUUAUUUUCUCGCACUGUUCAAUCACAUUCGGGGGCAGCCCUAAUUCUGCAUUUCCUUGUGUUUGCUAUUCUUUUAAAAGCUUCCAGUGAAAACGGAGAUUCGAUUCUCUUGACAGCAAAAUGUCCAUGACUGUAAAAGAAAGGCUAUUUUUCUAGGCUGUGAUGGAGAUAAACAUUGCACGGCCCUUCUUUUCCUCUUCCCUUCCUCAGGCUCUGUUUCAGCUCCUUACGCUGUGAUAAAUGGCAGUUAGAUCCAGGAUCCUGCUGUAUCGCAAGCACGGCUUCCUUAAGUAUAACAUCAUGCUCUCUGUACCAGCAUGCUGCUAGCGCCUAGUGUGGAGCGCAUACUUCCAUCCAGCCUGUGGACGGCCUCCUGAAAUGCAGUGAGGCUGUGGUUGUAGUCUGUCCUCUGCAUAAGUCAGAUCUGAAGAAUAAAAAUUGAUUCCUAUUUGGGUAAAGCACAGAGCCUCCAUCAUCACCAAACACAACUGCAAUGCUGAUACUUUCUGCUAAUAGCGAUAACUUUGGUCUAAUGCCGUAUUGUACACAACAUAGCGGGUAGCUAUGUUAAUGUGCCCACUUACAUGUGGACCUUUUCAACUCCAGCCCUUCAAAUUUUAUCACAUGGCUGCUGCUCCACAGAGAGAAGGCUCCUCUUCAGCUGACUGAAUGGCAGGUUUAUGGCUUUUAAAGGCUGUGUCCAAAACCCACUGAAGCAAACACAUUCAGAAAUUCUGUAUUCAGUGACUCCUUGCUCAGUACAUGAAACAAAGAGCUAGCUUCUGCACUCCCCCAGAUGCACAAAGUUUUUAAUUCUGGAGAUGCAGAGAGACCACAUCCCACAUUUUGUCCUGACACAGAGGCAAGACGUAGCCAAGGCAGAUAGCAAGACCCGGGAGCUAAGAGGUACUUGGGGUCAGGCUGCAUAAACACGGUCAGUAUUAAAUCUGUAUUAUUUGCUUAUGCCUCAGUGCCUCGGGUCUCUGAGAACCUUACUGUGCUAGGCACCAUACAAGUCCAGAACAAACUUACCCAGAUACAGACUUUGAAUAAGGCAAGCAUUGAAUCGUGACAGAUUUAGAACACAUCCGCUAAAGACAUCAUUAAAAAUAUUUUAAAAACCUGUUUUUUGGAGCAAUACCACCCCCACUCCCUUCAGAGGGGAGACCUUGUCAGGCACUAAAUAAAUGUUUACAGAAAAGUGUUUAUGACUCAACAUUAAAUAAUGAUUUAAGGUGGAAAUGUUGACAGAGCCUGAGUGCUAGUGAUACAUCUAAAAAUCUUGAUGCAUCUGGGAAUUUAUUUCCUUUUAUAGCCUAUGAUAAAAAAGAGAAUACCUCUAUGCAUGUUUUGAAGUAAAGGCACAAAACUUCACAGCAAGUGCCAACCAAAAUGACCUGCAAUCCCUGAAAACAGGGAUCUCUACUGGAAACAGGGACAAAAACUCUACUGUAGAUGUUUCAGCAGGAAAAACAAAACAAAAAAAACCCAUCUCUGUAUGUUGCAUAAAUACCUUUUUUCAUUCAUAACUCAUUGUUUCAGAAAUCAGGACCGUUAACUAGAACUGGCUUUUCAUUUCUCCAUUCCCCUUGUUUGUCAUUUUAUCUUAAAAUGUCUAUUUGCUUCAGAAAAGCCUUCUUAAUUUUGACCCACUGGUGGCCCAGCUAAGCACUGAGCUAAUAUUGACUAAUAUUUCAAAAUAAAUUGCUCCCUCUAGUGAGACCGCCGUAGUACUGAUGCCUGGCAGAUGGGGGGGGGCGGGCGGCCUGGGUGAGUUUCUACGUGCUGCUCCAGCAAGCCCUCAGCCCCUCGCUGGCUUGGUUCUUGCUCCAGACAAGCUUACGAGGAGCCUUCCCUGAGCAAGGAGCGCUCAAUAAGGCCUUCUGCAUUUAAGAUAAAAUUAUUUACAAAGGCUUAUGCCUCCUACAAUGUUAAAACCUUCCCUAAAAGAGCAGGCCAAUUAACCAGCAGACCUUUGGAGAACCACACGAGCUCGCUGAAUGCUAAAGUAUUUGCUGUGGAUGAGUUUCAUACAAACAACACUGCCAUCACCCUCUCCUUCUCUUCUUUCAGCUCUGGGCUGUUUAGAAAAAGAAAAUCCAGUUAUAAGUAGACCUGGCACCAAAUAUGAGCUGAGUUCUUCAGGACACCUCCCUACACCCAGUGGCUUUCAAAGUAAAAAAUAUUAACUUUGCAGAGUCCUCAAAAGACCCCUGAAGCAAAAAGACAUUACAAGGAAACAGUUAGCUCUCCUUUCGGUACCUGUCAAGAUGGCGCCACCAGAUGAGGCCUGCUGCCAUGAGUGGCAAGGCCAAAAUUCUGCCAUGCUCCCAGGGAGGGGCUUUUUUUUUUUUAAAGAGUAAAAAUCGAACUCUGUGCAGCACAACUGUAAUAAAGCAAGGAUUUGGAAAAGGCCACAGGCCCUCCCAGGACCACAUCAGGGAAAGGCCACCUGGUGGGAGAGGUAGGCCUGAGGGAUAUGAGAGGGCAGACACAUUAGAGUGUUGGCAGCCUCGUGCUUCAUGCUUGCUUUUCUGUCAGGGCAAACUCGAUGCCCCUCCUUUAGGAUGAGUUGUUCAGCACAACUCAUCUCCAAAAUCCCUCCUUGCUGUUGAGCAGAGUGAGGGGCCCUUCUCCUUCAGUGCCCUGAGGCACCAUGGCGAGGCCCUGCCAGCUGCCUGGCGCUGCUGGGAAUGGGUGAAUGAUGGUUGGGGGCUCUCCCCCCUGUGGGUCCUGGUCUCCCAGCCUCUCUCUUGCUCUUCACCUUCCCCUUUAUGACAGCACAAAGUCUCACACAGUUGCCAGGGCUGCAAACAUGGUGGUGAACGUGGGUCCCUUUUCUGACAGCAAAGCUCAGCUCACCUGAACGGCUCUUCAGAGGUCAAAGCAGACUCAUACUUGUGGGAGAACAGCCAUGGACAGUGAUGGUUGAGCUAUUCUUCUGUAAAUGACAUAAUGACUUAAAGGCAGAUGGUAAGGUUGCAUUCAUCUCCUAUGUAAGGAACUACAUCUAAAACAAUUUUAAAAAUAUUUCAAGAACUCUUCAAUAACUUGUGCAGAGCUGUUAACGUCAAAAAUAGGCAUGUUUAAACAAACAACACCCAGGAUAGGACGUGUGUCACCAGGACAUGUCUGUCAAACUACUUUGGCAACUUAAAUGCCUCUCUGGUCCCAUGUCCUGCACAUUGUUUCCGUGUUCACUUGGACAGCCCAGAAGAUUUGGCUGUGGGUAGCAGUCUGUCCAGCGUGCGGAGCAAUUGGAGCAGGAGGCACCAGCUCUGCUCGGGAAGCCGUAUCGGCUUGUUAGCAUAGCGUGCUCACAUGAACAACGUCCCUCAUCCUGGCCCUGACUUUUCUGGCCAGGCUACUCCGAUGCCAACUACGACAUGCUGUUUGGCUGCCUAACUGAUUUCCCUCUCCUGCAAUCUGAUCUUUGCCAUGGCUGACCUUCCCCUAGGUUGUGUUGUUCCAAUGCAAAUUGCGUGUUGUUGGCUCUGCUGGCUGUUCCGUGUUUGUAAUAAAGCAGUGACUGACUCAGUGUUCAUGAAAACCUGCCCUUGCUUGCAUCAGCCUUUCUCAAAUUGCGCAAUUGUGUGCUUCUGUUUUGUGGCUCGGGCGAUACCUGAGGGUGUAGUUUGCUCUGGUUCACCUCCCAGUUUGUGUUGGUUCACUUUCCUGCCUGGAGCUUGUCUUUCCUCCCUUGCAGUCUGGCUGGGAAGCUCGGCAGCCCGUGUGUGAAGCCAGCAGUCGUGUUAUUUUGGGGCACUCGCUAGGGGAGCACAUUUUUGUUUGUUUGUUUUUCUCCUGAACUAGGGAGGAGAGGAGUGAGCCUGUGCGGCUUGAAUGGAGCUUUGUUUUGGGCAGGGGAAAUGAAAAGCUGAAAUCUUGCCUAGCCUGACACAGAACUGUGCCCUUCCACAGGGCUCAGCCUUUUGGUUUGGGGUCCUUGAAGUGGUAAAGUACAAGAAGGGCUGCCUUUACCAGAGUGCCAGAGCAGAGGAACGCCCCUUACGUGCAGCGGUCGGAGACCUUGUGCGGGAGGUGGAAGACUUGGUGAAUUAUUGUUUCUGCUGGAGAGAAUUUCAAACCGCAUGCCUUCCCUUUCGGGCUGUUGCUCAAACCGCUGUACUCUACAGCUCUGAUCCUAUACGUUUGUAUUUGCUUAGGGCCUAUUAAUGCAGGUCUGAGCUUAUUAGCAGUCUGUUGAGGACAUCCAUCUUUACUUAAAGUAAUAAUAAAAUAUAGCAGUCUGGCAUUCCUGUGUUUUCAGAUACUCAUGUGAAGGACCAAACUAGAAAGCUACUCAUUUGCUUUUAGUCCUGACUAUUAUUUAAGUACCACGUGGGAAUUUGAAAGACCAGGCCUGGUAUAUUGU